rnacentral:rRNA from 1 species
CUUGCCCGCUGGCGGCAGGCCUAACACAUGCAAGUCGAGCGAGCGGCGGACGGGUGAGUAAUGUCUGGGAAACUGACUGAUGGAGGGGGAGAACUACUGGAAACGGUAGCUAAUACCGCAUACCAUCAGAUGUGCCCAGAUGGGAUUAGCGAGUAGGUGGGGUACUGUCUCACCUAGGCGACGAUCCCUAGCUGGUCUGAGAGGAUGACCAGCCACACUGGAACUGAGACACGGUCCAGACUCCUACGGGAGGCAGCGGUGGGGAAUAUUGCACAAUGGGCGCAAGCCUGAUGCAGCCAUGCCGCGUGUGUGAAGAAGGCCUUCGGGUUGUAAAGCACUUUCAGCGGGGAGGCGUUACCCGCAGAAGAAGCACCGGCUAACUCCGUGCCAGCAGCCGCGGUAAUUC